UACGGAGGGAGCUAGCGUUGUUCGGAAAUACUGGGCGUAAAGCGCACGUAGGCGGCGCAGCAAGUCAGGGGUGAAAUCCCGGGGCUCAACCCCGGAACUGCCCUUGAAACUGCAGUGCUAGAAUUCUGGAGAGGCGAGUGGAAUUCCGAGUGUAGAGGUGAAAUUCGUAGAUAUUCGGAAGAACACCAGUGGCGAAGGCGAUUCGCUGGACAGACAUUGACGCUGAGGUGCGAAAGCGUGGGGAGCAAACAGG
rnacentral:rRNA from 1 species